ACCUGGGUGGCUCAGUCAGUUGAGCGUCUGACUUCGGCUCAGGUCAUGAUCUCACAGUUUGUGGGUUUGAGCCCCACAUCAGGCU
rnacentral:tRNA from 1 species